GAUGUGCAGAAGUGCAUCUGCACAGACACCCAUCAUGAACUUUGUCCUCCUUUUGGGCAUACAGGAAAACAACAGUGUGAGUAUAAAGGGGGGAGCAGAGAGUGUUGCUGUUGUUCCAAAAGCUACUGCUAGACAGAGCUGAGCUGAGGGAGAUUUUACCAGACGCAGAUCGAGCCUGCGGCACGGCACCGCGAUGAGGGUGGGGCUCAGCCUGCUCCUGGCUCUCUGCCUGCUCCCUGGGGGCGGAGCAGAAAGUGAGGGGGAGGGGACCCGCUGUAAGCCGCCGCCUGGUUGGAGCAUUGGGGAGGUGGAGCCAAUGAAGGAGGUUAUGGGCCAGGUCACAGUGGUGGCCCUCCUCCAGGCCAGCUGUAUGUUCUGCUUGGUGCAGGCAUCCUUAUUGGAUGAGCUGCGCCUAAAGCUGGAGGGCCAGGGUUUGGACAAUGUGACCUAUAUGGUGGUGAACCACCAGGGGGAGCAUGCCCAGCGCCUUCACACCUUGCUGAGCCAGAAACUGUCUGAGAACAUCAUGCUGUACAAACAGGAGCCCAAACAGGAGGACGUGUGGCAGGCCCUGGCUGGAAAGAAGGAUGACUUCCUCAUCUAUGACAGGUGUGGUCGUCUGACCCACCAUAUCUCCCUCCCCUUUUCCAUCCUGGGUACUCACUACGUAGAGAACGCCAUUAAGGAGACCUACUGCCAACGCAUAUGUGGGGACUGCAUGUAUGAGAGCACGGAGAUCCCAGCAGAGUGCAACAGGAUGACAGAGGCGAAGCCUGAGGGAGAAGAGAAGCCAGCCACUGGAGGGGAUACACCUCACGGUGGACACGGCCAUCAUCACCAUGGCAACGGGCACGGUCACCAUGACAACAGCCAUGGUCACGGUCACCAUGGUGAGAGGGGGGUGGGGCACGGUCACGGUCGUGGCCAUGGGGUGGAGCAGCAGCAGCACCAACAUGGCGCUGAGGGGCUCCACCAUGGCCAGGCCCACGUUGGUCAGGAGCAUAUGGGUCAGCAGCCCAUGGAGGCGCAGGAAGGGAAUAUUAUGCAGAGGCCCUGAGUGAAGGGGAGGGCCAGGUGAAAGGCGGAGCUCAGCUGACAUUUGAAGGAGGGGUCUGAUCUAAGUCCCUCCUCCAAGGUCAGCUGAUGCUGACACUGACGGAGGCUGUUUGGCGAUGGGGUGAGCAACGAGCCAAUCGGGCUCUGACACUGUGAUGAGGCGCUGCCCGCCUCCUGACAGUGACAGGGACUGAUGGGUGACUCCACCAAUCACAUCAGGGAGACCUGACAGUGACGCUCGCCCCCCGCUGACUGACAGCAGCCUCAGCCAGUGAUGUGAGCCUGAUCCCCGGGUGUUGAAACCUGAGGCUGAGAGCAGCUGUAAGCAGGGCCAUGGCUCUGUGACAGUUACCUUGCUUAUAGAUCUCAUAUUAACAUCUGUGAGACCAACAUCGGGGCAAAGCGCUCAUACCAUCUUACCAACUCGUUUUGCCCCUGUACUGUAAAGCCACACCUGAUAGAGAGGGAUGGAGGAAUACAUUGGGUCUAGUAAGGGAAUGCCAAGCCUAAACCUAUUACGAUAUGGGGAACAGGAUGUUAUUUGAGAUGUGCCCAAAGGGAUAGUAUGACAUCAAGGAAGGUACCCUCCACCCUCUCUCUCUCCGUCAGUGUGUUGGUCUCACCCUCCCGGGAGUGUAUGGGGUGAUUAUGUUGACGUUUCUCCUCCUCUGUUUUGCUCCCUCCAUCCAAAAUGAAGGCAGGCACAGAAACUACGCUCUAGUGGUGUCUGUCUGAUGUCCAGCUGGGGAGAGGGGAGGGGGAGGGCCAUACAAUAUGACCACCCCCUAAAGUUCAAAGUUCCAAAUAUUUGAGUAAGGAGUAUGAAGGAGUAGUGGCAAAUACUGAAAUAAACUGGCCAGGAAAGAAUGAUCUGAACCGAAGUUAGACAUUGUUAUACUCAGCCAAUUUGGUUAAAAUACAUAAUUGACAAGAGUAUGAUUUUUCUAUUAUGACCACACCAACCUUUUCAACUUUUUCUUCAACUAAAUGUCUAAUUUCAUUCCUUUCAAGCAACAACAUUUAUUUUUGCAUACCUUCGAAUGAACUCUAUUGUGUUUAUUAAAGCAGUAGUGUGUUUUGUAGACAAACCUCAAUAUUCAUAGAGUACAGCUGUUAUAAAGUGUGUUUGGUUUUCCAUCUUACUGUAACUGUUUUUUUGUUUGGCAAUAUUGCACACAUAUGUAUAAUGCACUGUUUGUGAACUAACAAAACAAAGAGUGACCACUUUUCAACUAACAGAAAAACCAGCUAGAAUGAAGAAGGGGGUAGAGAGAAAUAUUGAAUAUAUUGUACUUAAUUAAGGCUUCUGGGGAAGACUACGGUCACCUAGAACACCCGAUGCUUUGUACAAAACACAUUCAUUCUGACUGUGGCGUGUAGGUGGUGGAACAUGUAAGAAAAUCUCAAUAAAGUUGGUUGAUGCACUCAUA